CGCGUAGGCGGGAUGGCAAGUCGGUCGUGAAAUCCUUCGGCUCAACCGAAGAACGUCGGCCGAUACUGCCGUUCUUGAGGGAUGCAGAGGAGACUGGAAUUCCCGGUGUAGCGGUGAAAUGUGUAGAGAUCGGGAGGAACACCGGUGGCGAAGGUGGGUCUCUGGGCAUCUCCUGACGCUGAGGCGCGAAAGCGUGGGAGCAAACG
rnacentral:rRNA from 1 species